rnacentral:tRNA from 1 species
GGCCAAUUAUCAGUAUUGGAGGGAAUCGAACCCUGAUUGCUCGUGUGGAAGACGAGUGUU